rnacentral:rRNA from 1 species
UCGGUGGUGGAUUAGUGGCGAACGGGUGAGUAACACGUGGGCAAUCUGCCCUGCACUUCGGGACAAGCCCUGGAAACGGGGUCUAAUACCGGAUAUGAUCGCCGGCCGCAUGGUCUGGUGGUGGAAAGCUCCGGCGGUGCAGGAUGAGCCCGCGGCCUAUCAGCUUGUUGGUGGGGUGAUGGCCUACCAAGGCGACGACGGGUAGCCGGCCUGAGAGGGCGACCGGCCACACUGGGACUGAGACACGGCCCAGACUCCUACGGGAGGCAGCAGUGGGGAAUAUUGCACAAUGGGCGCAAGCCUGAUGCAGCGACGCCGCGUGAGGGAUGACGGCCUUCGGGUUGUAAACCUCUUUCAGCAGGGAAGAAGCGUGAGUGACGGUACCUGCAGAAGAAGCACCGGCUAACUACGUGCCAGCAGCCGCGGUAAUACGUAGGGUGCGAGCGUUGUCCGGAAUUAUUGGGCGUAAAGAGCUCGUAGGCGGCUUGUCGCGUCGGAUGUGAAAGCCCGGGGCUUAACCCCGGGUCUGCAUUCGAUACGGGCAGGCUGGAGUUCGGCAGGGGAGAUUGGAAUUCCUGGUGUAGCGGUGAAAUGCGCAGA